GAUGAACGCUGGCGGCGUGCCUAAUACAUGCAAGUCGAGCGAACAGACGAGGAGCUUGCUCCUCUGACGUUAGCGGCGGACGGGUGAGUAACACGUGGAUAACCUACCUAUAAGACUGGGAUAACUUCGGGAAACCGGAGCUAAUACCGGAUAAUAUAUUGAACCGCAUGGUUCAAUAGUGAAAGACGGUUUUGCUGUCACUUAUAGAUGGAUCCGCGCCGCAUUAGCUAGUUGGUAAGGUAACGGCUUACCAAGGCAACGAUGCGUAGCCGACCUGAGAGGGGGACCGCCCCAACGGAAAGUGAGACACGUUCCAGAUCCCGAGGGGAGGAAGAAGGGGGGAGUUUUCCGAAAGGGGGGAAAGCCUGAGGGACCACCGCCGGGGGGGUGAUGAAGUUUUUGGAAUCAAAAAACGUUUUUAUGGGGAAAAAACAAAUGGGAAAGAAAAGAGGCGCGUCUGGACGGUACUAAAAGAAAAAGCCGCGCCUAACUACGU
rnacentral:rRNA from 1 species